rnacentral:rRNA from 1 species
AUAUUGCACAAUGGGCGAAAGCCUGAUGCAGCAACGCCGCGUGAGGGAUGAAGGUUUUCGGAUCGUAAACCUCUUUUAUAGAGCAGCAAGAUAUGAGCGCUCUAUGAAAAAGCACCUGCUAACUACGUGCCAGCAGCCGCGGUAAUACGUGGGGUGCAAGCGUUAUCCGGAAUUAUUGGGCGUAAAGAGAUGCGUAGGCGGUUUGUCAAGUUUUUGGUGAAAUCCCCUGGCUUAACCAGGGAACUGCCAAGAAUACUGACAGACUUAGAGGGAAUCAGGGGGUGCUGGAACUCGUGGUGUAGUAGUAAAAUGCGUUGAUAUCACGAGGAACACCCAAGGCGAAGGCAGGCACCUGGGAUUCACCUGACGCUAAGGCUCGAAAGCGUGGGGAGCGAAACGG